rnacentral:rRNA from 1 species
AGAGUUUGAUCAUGGCUCAGAGCGAACGCUGGCGGCGUGCUUAACACAUGCAAGUCGAGUGCGCGUUUUCGUAGCAAUACGGAAAUGGNNCACGGCGCACGGGUGCGUAACACGUGGGUAUCUGCCCUCUGAUGGGGAAUAACUCGCCGAAAGGCGAGCUAAUUCCGCAUAACAUUCCUUGGACUCCGGUCCGAGGAUUCAAAGGCGUAAGUCGUCGGAGGUGGAGCCCGCGCACGAUUAGCUAGUUGGUGAGGUAAUGGCUCACCAAGGCUAUGAUCGUUAGCUGGUCUGAGAGGAUGGCCAGCCACACUGGAACUGAGACACGGUCCAGACUCCUACGGGAGGCAGCAGUGGGGAAUCUUGCACAAUGGGCGAAAGCCUGAUGCAGCGACGCCGCGUGGGGGAUGAAGCUUCUCGGAGUGUAAACCCCUUUCGACCGGGACGAAUACCUCGCAAGAGGGGUGACGGUACCGGUAUAAGAAGCCCCGGCUAACUACGUGCCAGCAGCCGCGGUAAGACGUAGGGGGCCAGCGUUGCUCGGAAUUACUGGGUGUAAAGGGUUCGUAGGCGGUGUGGCAAGUCGGGAGUGAAAUCCCUGGGCUCAACCCAGGGGCUGCUUCCGAAACUGCUGUGCUAGAGUGUGGGAGAGGCGCGUGGAAUUGCAGGUGUAGCGGUGAAAUGCGUAGAUAUCUGCAGGAACACCCGUGGCGAAAGCGGCGCGCUGGACCACUACUGACGCUGAGGAACGAAAGCUAGGGGAGCAAACAGGAUUAGAUACCCUAGUAGUCC